AAUGGGCGCAGCCUGAUCAGCCAUGCCGCGUGAGUGAUGAAGCCCUUGGGUUGUAAAGCUCUUUGACGGGGACGAUAAUGACGGUACCCGUAGAAGAAGCCCCGGCUAACUUCGUGCCAGCAGCCGCGGUAAUA
rnacentral:rRNA from 1 species